AAUCUCAGGAUUAUUUUGAUGAACAUUUCCCUGAUUACUAAGGACUUUAAACAUUUCUUUAAGUGUUUCUAAUCAAUUCAAGAUUCACCAUUGUAAAUUCUCUGUUUAGUAAAUUCUCUCUUUAGCCCAUUAAUUGAUUGUGUUGUUAAGUUUCUUUGUGGUUAGCUUCUUGGAUUCUUUAUAUAUUUAGGAUAUUAGCCCUCUUUCUGAUAUGAAUAUAGUUAAGAUUGUUUUUUUUCUCAAUCUGCAGGUUGCUGAUUUGUCCUAUUGGCUAUGUCCUUUCCAGGAGGAAGAUAAUCCCUUUUGGAUUCCAGAGCGCCUCACUCGAAGGAUUCAGCUCUUAGACGAUGAAUCACAAGAACAAGAUCCCAAGAUGUCGAUGGAUCAUACUUGUAAUGCUGGAGAUUCUGGUUCCUAGUAUAAAUGGAGAGUUCAGAUGGGGAAUUAUGUCAACUUUUCCUCUUCCUAUGCCAGUUAUGCACAACGCACAAAUAUUUCCACGUUUUUUCACUACAAAUAAAAAACUGGGAAUUGCUUAUUUACUCUUAGAUGAACAGAUUCAGGCUUUACAAGAAAAUAGAACCUUUUUUAUACAGGGAAGCCCGUGCUUUGUGCUAAUUUCCUCAUUACAAGAUAAGACUCAAUGUAUAUCCUUGUAUAAUCAAUCAGCAGUUUGGUUAAAAAAAGCCUCCUUUGGUGGAGCGGCUUUUGACAUGAAGGCUGACACCAUAGUUAUUAGAGGAUGGUGGCCCAGUCGAAAAGGUGGAAGAUCUAAAAAUAAGCCGCCUUCACAACCUAGAAUGGCACCCUCUUGCAGGGAAGGGUCCAUGGAAGAUGUAAUGCUGCCUUAGACAGGCUGCCAAGCUAAAAGAUAUACUUGGGCAGUAGAGAAAUAUUUUUCCUUUUCACCAUACAUAAGUAGAGAGUAUAAUGAUACCUUUGCAGGAUAUUAUUUUAGUCAUAUGGACCCCCUUCGAAGUAAUACUAAUCCUUUUGAUCAGUGGCUACUUUGUGGAGUUAAUGGAAGCUGUACUAAUCUUGCCCCUAUGGCAAUGAUCGGAGGAGGUUCUAGUGAAAAAGGAGAAAUGACUUUUGACUGGAAGGGUACCCAACGCAGGAAUGAAAAACAGCGUUCGAACUUUAAAUGGACCACUUCCAAAGUUCAAUAUAAAAUACAAAAAGAGGUAAAUUUUACUGCCACCCCGGUAUGUAUAUGGCCCCCGUUUCUGUGGGUGGUAAGUAGCAAAAGCUUAAAUCAAAAUCAGAUAGAGAUAGAUUGCUCACAAGAAAAAUGUUUUUAUGCCCUAUGCUGGGAUGCUAAGAAAUAUCCUUUUGCUUUAGUUACCCACAUGCCUAGAUUUGUUCCUGUUACUGUAGAUGCCCCUAAUAGCUUGACUUUGUUUCCAGGAAAAAGAGAUUUUGGUAUCUCUGCUAUUAUAGUUGGACUGGUGGCCACCGCGGCAGUCGCAGCCUCUGUCACGGCCUCGGCACUCGCUCUAUCUACUUCUGUGCAAACAACACAAACUAUUAAUGAGCUUUCUAUCAUGGUCACAACGGCCUUGGAUAAACAGGCCACAGCCAACUCACAGAUACAAGGAGGGUUGAUGCUGAUAAAUCAGCGCAUCGACCUAGUCCAAGAGCAGGUGGAUAUUCUCUGGCAGUUGGCUCAAUUAGGUUGUGAAUACAAAAACCUGGUCUUUGUGUUACUUCAGUUCAAUAUGAAAAUUUUACAAGGGCAGCAAAUUUGUCAAAAGCUUUAUCUCGUUAUAUGUUACAGAAUUGGACUAUGGAAUUUGAACAAAUGCUUCGAGAAUUGAGAGUUGCUAUUCUACAAGUGAAUUCUAGGCGUCUCGACCUUUCACUGACGGAGGGCUUCUCCACCUAGAUUUCCUCUGCAUUCUCCUACUUCAAGGAAUGGGUGGGGGUGGGAUUGAUUGCCAUGAUCAUAGGUGGUGGAGCGUUGCUUUUGCUCUGGAUGGUCUGUAAGCUUAAAGCUCAAACAAAAAGGGACAAGAUGGUGAUAACCCAAGCACUUGCAGCAUUAGAACACGAUUCCUCCCCUGGUAUAUGGUUAUCUAUGCUUAAGCAAUAGGUUGCUGGCUACUCAGCUCUUGCACCCCACGAGGCUAGUCUCAUUGCACGGUAUAGAGUGAGUGUGCUACAGCAGCCCGAGAGAGUUGCAUGGCUUAGCACUGCAGUAGAAAGGCUCUGCAGCAUAAAAUGAGCUUAUUCUAGGGAGACAUGUCAUCUUGUAUGAAGGUUGAGUGUCCAAGUGCCCUUCCCCCAGGAAAAACGACACGGGACCAGACCAGGACCCCUCCGGGUGACAAGCCUGGGAGGAGGUUUUGUGUUAGGCCCCUUUGCUUGCACACUGGAGAUUUGACCUCUACCUCCACUCUCAUUAUGGGUGGCCUAUUGCUCUUAUAUAAAAGAAAAGGGGGAGAUGUGAGGAGCCACCCUUGCAAUCACCAUUACAAGAUGGCACUGACAUCCGGUGUUCUAACUGGUAAACAAGUAGUCUGCACAUGUGCUGGGGUAUUUUUCCAUUCCUUGUGCCCUGCCUUUCCCGUGGCGUCAUCUGGGCUGAUGGUGAGCAGCCAAUCAGGGCGAGGCACGUCUCCAACCGCUCUUCGUGGGCUAUAAAAGGGACAGGUUUCCUGUGCUCUAGGUCUCCUCCUCCCCAGAAGCUGAUGAUCUUUCUCUCGAGAUGCAUUAAAGCUUUGCUGCAGAAGAA